rnacentral:rRNA from 1 species
UACGGGGGGGGCAAGCGUUGUUCGGAAUUACUGGGCGUAAAGGGCUCGUAGGCGGCCAACUAAGUCGGAUGUGAAAUCCCCGGGCUUAACCUGGGAACUGCAUCCGAUACUGGAUGGCUUGAAUUCGGGAGAGGGAUGCAGAAUUCCAGGUGUAGCGGUGAAAUGCGUAGAUAUCUGGAGGAAUACCGGUGGCGAAGGCGGCAUCCUGGACCGACAUUGACGCUGAGGAGCGAAAGCUAGGGGAGCAAACGGG